rnacentral:lncRNA from 1 species
GCCGAGGGACAAGCGCGGCCGCCGCGCGGUGCGACCCCGAGCCCGGGCCCUCCGCCGCCCCAAAGGGCCUGGCCGCCGCGCUAGGACCCAGGAGCGCCGCUCCCGCGCGGCCGAGCACCCGCCGCCCGGACCUGCAAAACCUGCAGCCCCUUCUGUGGCCCCAAAUGAGGCGAUCCGCCCCCAAACCGCGCCGGUCCCUGCCAGCGGGCACCGGCAGACGCGCCCCGGCCGCAGAGCCGCGCCGGCACCUCAUCCCGCCCGAGCCCUGCGGUUUCUCCUAAGCGCGUCUGAGCCAUUCCAGCCCCUAGAGCGGGUUAAAGGUUUAUGUUUCCGUCAGCCUCAGAACUGGCACCAGCUCAGCGCCACCUGCGGAAUUUCAUCCCAUCUUCCGAGACACAGAAGCUGCAUUAAAACAACAACGACAAAAAAAAAAUUGAUAAUUUAUUAUUAAUCGGAAAUGUUCAAAUCGCAAGUUACUGAGCAACAGGGGAGUCUGGGCUCGGGUGCGCUGCAGCGGUGCUCCGGCACGUGCGUGCGCCAGACCGAGCGCUUGUUCCGUGCUUCGCGGCGUAGGAGUUGGGGAGGCGGCUGCAGCCGUUAGGGCACGCGGGUCCCCUCUCGCGCCCAGGGGAACCGCCGCGCGGCUCCCGCGGCUCCCGCCCUUAAUGGCGAUAUCGUGCCAACACCCUCCGCACGCUCCUUCUCAGCCAACUGCUUUUUUUUUUUUUCCUCCGCGUGAGACAAAUGAACAAAGAUCGGUAUCGUCCCAUGACUUGUUUUUCAAGAACGGUGUCGUAAAAAAAUAUCUGGGCCUCUGUCACUGACAAAUGCCCUCCCCAAAUCUAGUCUUAAUAGAUUUAUUUAGUUUUUCUGCAUUUCUUAACAUCUCUUCUCCCUCAGCUUUCAUUUCAUGAUGUUCUUUCCUUUCUUCAGCUAUGGAGAUAAAGUAACUGGGUGAAUUCAAACCUUUCUGGGCAAGAAUCUGAUGUGAUUUUUCCAUCCCCAACUUUUGGGAGAGAUACUUAAAAUUAAUCACUUGUGUGCUAGGGUUUAGGUUUGUUUGUUUAUUUAGUACACGCCAGAUCUCGCAAAGACAGUGAGCUAUGUGCUAAUCAAACCAUCUGGCCUAUAUAAAAAAUUUAUCUUCGCUAAAUAAUUAACAACAACUAGAUGAGAAGGCUUCAUUAAGGCCAGGAAAGGAACGUCUGGUGUGGGCCAACAGAGGAUAAAUAAAGAAGGAAGAUGAACAACCA